CAGUCACGUAACAGAACAGAACCACCGCUACAGCAGAUCCCAGCCAAGUUAACACAAAACCACUCCUCGCAGCCCGGUCAGUAACAGACAGAACCACCCAGCCCAGUCAGUAACACAGAAACCACCCAGCCCGGUCAGUAACAGACAGAACCACCCAGCCCGGUCAGUAACAGACAGAACUCACCCAGCCGGUCCAGUAACCAGAACAGAACCACCCAGCCCGGUCAGUACAGAGAACCACCCAGCCCGGUCAGUAACAGAGAACCACCCAGCCGGUCAGUAACAGACAGAACCCACCAGCCGGCAGUAAC
rnacentral:lncRNA from 1 species